CCCACGUCCCUUCUCGCAGUCUCCCUCACCUCUCGCUCCCGAUCCCUCCCCUUGAUCUCGUGAGAAAAUCGCCGCCGCCGCUGCCGCCCCCACACUAUCUGCCCCGAUGAACUGCCCAUCUCCAUUGCCGUCCGCAGCCCGUCUCGGUCGCCGUCGCGCAGCCCAUGCACGCCGCCCUUGUACGAUCUGCUCGCCUCCGCUAUCGCAACAGCCUAGGUCGAUCCCCUUAUUGAGCCCAUCUGAUGGCGGCGCCGACCCAUCUUUUGGGCUACAUGCGGCAAUGGCGAACGAGAAGAAAUCAACGUACGCCACCACCAUCGCCGGCUUGCAGGGACCGUUGACCGCUAUGAAGGCCUUUAGUUUGGCACAGAGACGUCCUGGAUGGGCGCGGGUUCGAGAUGAUGCACGACGAGGCGGCGAGGGCCACAAUGGUCAACAUCACUUCAAUCAUCAGGGAGCAAGCUGAUGGCAUCAAAAAAUCACAUUAACUAUUGGUGGUGACUGUGACUGUGCGGUGCACGCAUCAGUGACACAUCCAAAUCCACUCCACUAAUAAGUUGUCCUCUCCAUUAUAAGAUUGGGUAAAUUUUGGCGGUGGUCACUGGUAUGCCGGGAAGCUUUCAGUUUGGAUCUUGUUGGCGAUUCUCCAUGUAGCCUUGUUGGUUUUGAAUCCAAAGUGCAUGGAAAUCCUGAAGAGUUUGACUCUUUGAGUCGGAGGAAACCAAGGUUAGCAUUAAUCCCCACAAUAACUUGGCCUCCAUGCAGUAAUAUUUUGGGGGUGGAGAAAGAGAGCAAGAAUUCCACAUACAUACGCUUGACAUCUUCAAAAAGGAGAUUUUCAAUGGUCAAUUGGAGGGCUUCUAAACGUUUUUACUUAUGGCUAAUUUUAUCAUGUCAGGAGCCUGCUCUGUUAAUCCACUCAAAACCUUUUGCAUAACAGAGCCAGAGAAUGAAGCCAGUUAUCUCUACCAUGUUGUUUGUCAUUGUGAUUUGAUUUUUAUUUCUUCUGUAGCAACACACUGUACUUAUACCUGUAGAAGAACAACAUUAGUGAUGAAAGCUCUUAGUUUCCCCAGGCACACUCGGAUAUGUAUUGCUAUAGGUGAAAUCUAUGAUGGUAAAAAGAUUAACUGCAUCGAAUACAAAGUUCCCUAACAUAGCGUAUGUGCACAAGGAUGCCUUUAUCUGAUGGUGAACUACACCUCUUCCAAAAAAUACUCAACCCAAAUGGAAGCCCUGGACUAUCUUGUUUCUGUCAUAGGUGAUGUUUUUAUUCCCUGUUCUGAUGGAAACAUGGCUAAAGUUGUUCAAGGACACCACAUGCAUGUCUAUUUAUGACCUUCCUGAUAUGAAUAUCGUUUCUUCUUGCCACCAUGGAUAUGCAUUAGUAUGACAAGGUUAGCUGGGCCGAAUGUGAGAAGAAAAUAUAAAUAUUUGCGUACACACAGGGUUGUCGUGUAUAGCUCUCAUUUGAAUGCAGACGUUUGUUUUAAAGAAUCGUGACUAUCGUGAGCAAGAAUGAACCCAACAAAAUUAUUUAUUUAUUUUUCUGUUUUCCUUAUGAAACAAUCAAUGGACCGAGUUCCACUAUCAGCAAAAUAAUUACCGAAGGUUAACUGAGAAGUGUAUAUCUUGCAACUGUAUGUUAAUGGACUUCCACAUUGGUUCAUCAUUCCAAACCAACAUCAACUGUUGGGACUCUGGCAUAUAUUUCUCAUCAAUAUGGUCGCAAGGUAUAAUCCAUUCUCUUUCUGCUUUAAACCAUCCCAUGCAUACUCUGCCAUAUGUUGCCUGAUUAUUUCAUUUUGCUAGGCCAUAAAAGCUUUACUUGCUUUCCGAAUCUUACAUCCACCUUUUGUUGGCAUGAUUUGUGCAUAGUCUUUAGGCGCAACCGUUUAAAUAUUUUAUGUUUUAUUUGCUGAAGCACUACUAAUUUGUCUUUGGAUGGCAAUAGAUGAUGUGUGGAUGUGGGCCCUUCCUUUAUGCGAUGUUGGUUGGUACAUACACUUUCGAUCCAUAAGAUCACAAGAAUUUUGAAAUGACGACUGACAAGUCAGGUAUGUUGCCAGCCAUUCAACUUUGCAAUUCCACAAGUUAAUAUUGAACUCAUAUUGCACAGAUUAUUAGGUGUUCAGUGUUCAAGGAUCUUAUUUGCCAACACGGGCUAUGAUCUCGACAUAGACAACGGCGGAGAGAUAAUAUAUGCUCUGUAUCUUGUAAAUAUAUGUGCAGAAGUAGCUGCAGCCUUCCACCUUAUGAACAAGUUCUGUCAAUGGUCAGGAGGUGCGAGCCCAUCAAAGAUUAUGUUCAAGGCUACAACUUGAAUCUGAAUCUCUAUUGCUAUGUAAAUAUGUGGUUCGUGCCAAGAAAUAUCAGUUAGUUGUACGAUUCUAUUUUUGGUGUUCCUUUCUGUUAAAAGUUAAAACCGUAAGUCAAAUAUGUUCUUACCAGAGUCAAUUGCAUGAACAUUGAACAAGUCAUAACUGAACAGUGUAUCGACCACCCAUCCUGUAUUACAAGAUGGAAACAUAUAUACAUCAUUUGUACAUGGCGAGCGUGGAGUGAAAACCAUCCAGAUACCAGUCUGCCAGCCAGUCCAGGUUCUGAGCGGGGCAAGCGGGUGUGCGAGCGGUAAGCAUCAGACUAUCCCCAUUAUAUUCUGAGCUAUCCAUAGGAAAGUAAUUAUCUUAUAUGUGAAUCUUUUUUCAAAUUAAAUUAAAUUGCAGUUGUCUUAAGUCCAGUAUAAAAACCCAUUAGGUUGUAACUACCAUUACUGAUCAGUACGGGAGUUUUAGUUUCUUGUCAGAUUUGCGUAGCUCUUGUGUCGGGAAGAAGAGGAUGGUUGUUUUGUUGGUAGUUAUAUUUUUUCUAACACUGAAAAAUAAAAAAGAGUUAAUGAUCUCCGAGGAGGAGCACACCAGUGCCAUUAAUUAGGAAAUUAGCAAAGUUGCUAAGAUCGGAGAAUAGCUUGACAUUGCUGUGCUUCUUCAUGGACAGCCUGGGGUCAACAUCCUUCUAUUAAUAAUGUUUAGUGUUAACAAAACUUUGUGCCAUGCUUGAGAAAAUCAAUGUUAUUUUUUUAUAAUUGACAAUGUUUGAUUCUACAUUUAGUUGGGUUGAUAUGUAUUUGAUAGAGGAACCAUAUGGUUGAGUAUUUCUGUGAGCAGCUCACUGGUUUUGCAUUCACUGCCAAUGGGUGGGUACAAACUUUUGGAUCAAGGUGUGCAAGACAUCAAUUAUCUAUGCAGACGUGAGCCACCUCCCACGGCAGUGUUCUGGUCCAAGAGCCAAGUGCGGUAUGAGCUUGAGGAGAGCUGCGAGGUGGGCAUGGUACACUGCUGAUGGCUGCCAGAGGAGGUUGUGCAGCAGUUGUGGUCGAGGCGGACAGCAUUAUCAUAUGCGCAUGGUUGGUGGAUUCUUCCUUGGACUAUGAGGGAUUGUUGAAUUUGUCAUGACUUAGAGGGAGUGGAUGACAAUGCUGCAAGCCAUUAGAAGUUAGGGACGAUGGGAAUGACUAUGACAAUUUGGCGAGUUACACAAAAGGCAUAUGGAUUUGGAGCAAGGUGAAAAUGUAAUAGCUGAAGCGGUGUGACUAAUGAUAUAUUCAUUUGUUUAUUGGUGUGACUAAUGAUAUAUUCAUUUGUUUAUUUGUUUGUUCGUAGGUUAGGGAUGAUAGAAAUUAGUAUGUAAGUCAGGGAUGAUGCGAAUGACUACGACAAUUCUAC